rnacentral:rRNA from 1 species
CAAGCCCUUGCGCUUUUGGAGCGGCCGAUGUCUGAUUAGCUAGUUGGUGAGGUAAAGGCUCACCAAGGCUCCGAUCAGUAGCUGGUCUGAGAGGACGACCAGCCACACUGGGACUGAGACACGGCCCAGACUCCUACGGGAGGCAGCAGUGGGGAAUUUUGGCCAAUGGGGGCAACCCUGAUCCAGCCAUGCCGCGUGAGUGAAGAAGGCCUUCGGGUUGUAAAGCUCUNUCAGCCGGAACGAAACGGUUAUAGCUAAUNCCUGUGACUUCUGACGGUACCGGAAGAAGAANCCCCGGCUAACUACGUNCCAGCAGCCGCGGUAAUACGUAGGGUGCGAGCGUUAAUCGGAAUUACUGGGCGUAAAGGGUGCGCAGGCGGUUUUGUAAGUCAGAUGUGAAAUCCCCGGGCUUAACCUGGGAACU